GAAAAAUCAAGGAUUAAUUGGAGGAUUUUGAAGAUAUUAGAUUGAAGUACGUCUCGAUAGGAAUCCGUGAGCGCAAACGGCGACCAAAUCCGAGUCCGGACGAGGGAGAACGGAGCAAAACGAGCGGACUGUGCAAAACGCCCAGUACCCCGCAGUCACCACCCGCGGCCGCGGGGUGGGACCGCGGGUCAGCUGUUCCCAACUCCAGGAGUCACCCGCGGUCACCACCCGCGGCCGCGGGGCGGGACCGCGGGUCCCCUGAGCAUCCCCCACGUUUGAAGGCCGCGGACGCGGGCCGUGACCGCGGGAAAAGGGCGGAGC
rnacentral:lncRNA from 1 species